CUCGUGUCCGGCCCCGACUGCCGCUUCCUGACUCUGCCACCUUGAGUGCCUUUCCUACCCUGUCCCCUCGCCAGUGAAAGACGGGACUGUAGUAGCACGCGUCUCCUGGACACGAACAUUAAUGCUGUCAUGUCAGCAAAGUGCUCAACACCCAAAACCACCUAAGAUCAUGGCUCUCAAAGCCCACCAAUCACCUGGAGAUCAAGAGAUACCUGAGCUCCUUCCUGGAGGUUUGACUCAAAAUAGCUCUGGGACUGGUUGACCCAGUCUGGGAACCCAAGACACACUCCCUCUGUACACCUGGCACUUCUGGUCCCGCCCAGUUUCGCGACAUCGCCAAUCCCAAGCCCG
ensembl:lncRNA